rnacentral:rRNA from 1 species
GGACCCGCACAAGCAGUGGAGCAUGUGGUUUAAUUCGAUGCUACGCGAAAAACCUUACCAACCCUUGUAUCUAGUUGACCGGCUAAGAGAUUAGCCUUCGGUUCGCCGCAGCUAAGACAGGUGUUGCAUGGCUGUCGUCAGCUCGUGUCGUGAGAUGUUAGGUUAAGUCCUUCAACGAGCGCAACCCUCAUCCUUAUUUGCCAUCGGGUUAUGCCGGGAACUAUAAGGAAACUGCCAGCGAUAAGCUGGAGGAAGGUGGGGACGAUGUCAAGUCAUCAUGGCCCUUAUGGGUUGGGCUACACACAUGCUACAAUGGUGAUUACAGUGGGACGCUAAGGAGCAAUCUGGAGCAAAUCCUCAAAAGUCAUCUCAGUUCGGAUUGAGGGCUGCAACUCGCCCUCAUGAAGUUGGAAUUGCUAGUAAUCGUAAAUC